rnacentral:rRNA from 1 species
GACGAACGCUGGCGGCGUGCUUAACACAUGCAAGUCGAACGGAAAGGCCCUGCUUUUGUGGGGUGCUCGAGUGGCGAACGGGUGAGUAACACGGGAGUAACCUGCCCUUGACUUUGGGAUAACUUCAGGAAACUGGGGCUAAUACCGGAUAGGAGCUCCUGCUGCAUGGGGGGGGUUGGAAAGUUUCGGCGGUUGGGGAUGGACUCGCGGCUUAUCAGCUUGUUGGUGGGGUAGUGGCUUACCAAGGCUUUGGCGGGUAGCCGGCCUGAGAGGGUGACCGGCCACAUUGGGACUGCGAUACGGCCCAGACUCCUACGGGAGGCAGCAGUGGGGAAUAUUGCACAAUGGACGGAAGCCUGAUGCAGCAACGCCGCGUGCGGGAUGACGGCCUUCGGGUUGUAAACCGCUUUCGCCUGUGACGAAGCGUGAGUGACGGUAAUGGGUAAAGAAGCACCGGCUAACUACGUG